rnacentral:lncRNA from 1 species
CUCCAGCGCAUCUCUGUGGGAGAGGGAGUUGGGAAAUAGGAUCGCCAAUUUUCAGUGUAAUUGAGGGGGACUCAGGAGGAGUCAGUUAGACUGGAAGAGGUCAUCACCUGCAGAUGCGGUUAAGCAACUUGCAGAGGCCCCAGGGCUGAGCCACCGCAGAACCGGAGCUGGAAACCAGUCCUAUGACUCCUGAGGCAGUGCUCUUUCUACUACCUGGCCAUGGCUCCUUCUACUGCCUGGCUCAGAGUCUCCAUCUGGGAGAUUCCGGCGCACCAGACUUUAUUGUGGGCACAGGGUAGGCAGUCCUGAGGCUAUAGGCACAGUCUUGAAGCAGCUCGGUUUCCAUUAAGCUCCUGCUUACCUGCAGGAAGCAUCCCUGAAGCAAGUUUUGCUUCCCACCUGGACUCCCCAGGUGGACCUAUCCCCACCCCACACCCUGAGUGAACUCUUCACCCUCGUGACCUAAUAUACCCACUGCAAUUCAAUUGAGACUUGGGAAACAGGGAAGUGGGUGUUUUCCAAAUGAAUGAAAAAUAUGUCUAUUCUGCUACUGCCCCAAAAUGCUGCAUAAUGGAGGUAAUAAAUAGUUAACACAGCAUACGUACACACAUACAUAGGUACAAGCCAUUGGCCAAGGCUCCUUCCCACAUUAUCACACAGCACCCUCUUAAGGCAAAUCAUGAUACUCCCCAUUUUGCAGACGGAGGGCAGGACAUGGAGGCUGGCGUUGGUUAUGAGUUGUGUAAAGGUUAGAACCUUCACAGUCAAGCACUCUUUGGGUAACCAAGUAACCUCUUCAGAGCCUUCCCACUGCCACCGAAGCAUUCCUACACCUCCCUAUAUUGGCAGCUCAGUCCAGGAGGAGGACUAAAGGGGGAACGUGUGUCCCUCUCACUGCACCAUUGCCGAGCUUUCUUCUCCAAAUGGCACAACAGGCACAGCUCUCUGGUGUAACGCUUUCAACUGCAUAACUGAGAUCUCACAUAAAAGUCAUCUAGUACAGGCCAGGCGCAGUGGCUCAUGCCUAUAAUCCCAGCACUUUGGGAGGCCGAGGCAGGUGGAUCACCUGAAGUCAGGAGCUCAAGACCAGCCUGGCCAACAUGUUGAAACCCCGUCUCUACUAAAAAUACAAACAUCAGCCGGGCGUGGGGGCGCGCACCUGUAAUCCCAGCUACUCGGGAGGCUGAGGCAUGAGAAUCACUUGAACCUGGGAGGCGGAGGUUGCAGUAAGCCAAGAUCACUCCAGCCUGGGCAACAGAGCAAGACUCCAUCUCAAAAAGAAAAAAAAAAAGUCAUUUGGUACAUCAGGGUGCUUCACAGGUUGAGUUUUUCAUUCUACUUCUGUCCACUCAGCGUCGUCACUUCUCCAAUCUAUAGAAGAGAACAAAAGGGUAACAGAGGGAACUAGUACAGAAAACAAGAUGAGUGGGGCAGCAGAGAUUAAUCUAGAUCUGGUCUGCAUCUGCCUGACAUAAAAUCCAGAUAUCUAAACACAGAUCUGCUGAAAACGGUGUCUUUUAUUUCUACAGUAAUUACACUAAUUCACCAACGUGCAUAUCUAGCUCACCCAGACCUUUAUUUAUCAAUUGGAAAACUAGUUUUCAAAUAGUUUCCCUUUGAUAACUCAAAAUUCAGUAUUUUAGAGAAAGGUCUUCUAACCUUUACUCCACCUUUAAUUUUUAAAUUCUGAUGGAUAGGUUAUUUAAAUUAUUACUGUUGUUUCUUUCCAAGCAUUUUUAGCACCACUUUAAAAAGUAGAUAUUUAUCAUUUAAGUCAAUAUCUACAAAAUCCUGUCCCACUUUCAUACCUUACUCUGUGCCCUUUCACUAUGAAACACUAUGAUAAACUCUCCAUUAAUAAGACAAUAUGUUUCAACACACAUUAUUAUAAGAAUCUUUAUUACCAAUAGUAGAAAUAAGAUGCAUAAAGGUACACUCAAGGAUACUAGAAGAGCUACUGUAUAAAAUAUUAACACUGAACAGGGAAAAUAGCCUGAGGAAGGGAAGGGCGAGUAUAGUCAGUAUCAAUACGUCCAAAAACAAGAAAUGUCUAAAGAAAAGCAACAAGUGCGUUAUCCGCCAAGAAAAGAAAAAGACAGGCAAAGGCAAUAACGUGGGAAACAAGCUUUGCCAAUUUCAGAAACAAGGGUAUUUCCUUUCCUGUUGCACAGAGGGGAUUCACUGUAUAUAGCCACAAACGUGUCCCAUUGAGGAGAAAUUUGGCCUUCAAACCAGAUGAUGCCAGUAAUGCCUCCCUUGCUAUAUGAGAUGUGUUUGGCUUUUUCUGUAAACACAACCAGAAAAUGUUCGAGUCAAAUCAUUAUUCAUC